AUCGCUGAAGGAUGGCCUCGCGUCUGAUUAGCUAGUUGGUGGGGUAACGGCUCACCAAGGCGAUGAUCAGUAGCCGGACUGAGAGGUUGAUCGGCCACAUUGGGACUGAGACACGGCCCAAACUCCUACGGGAGGCAGCAGUGGGGGAUAUUGCACAAUGGAGGAAACUCUGAUGCAGCGACCCCGCGUGAGGGAAGAAGGUUUUCGGAUUGUAAACCUCUGUCUUCGGGGACGAAACAAAUGACGGUACUCGAGGAGGAAGCCACGGCUAACUACGUGCCAGCAGCCGCGGUAAUACGUAGGUGGCAAGCGUUGUCCGGAAUUACUGGGUGUAAAGGGAGCGCAGGCGGAACUGCAAGUUGGGUGUUUAAUCUACGGGCUCAACCCGUAUCAGCAUUCAAAACUGUGGUUCUUGAGUAAUGCAGAGGUAGGCGGAAUUCCCGGUGUAGCGGUGGAAUGCGUAGAUAUCGGGAGGAACACCAGUGGCGAAGGCGGCCUACUGGGCAUCAACUGACGCUGAGGCUCGAAAGCAUGGGUAGCAAACAGGAUUAGAUACCCUGGUAGUCCAUGCUGUAAACGAUGAUUACUAGGUGUGGGAAGAUUGACCCUUUCCGUGCCGCAGUUAACACAAUAAGUAAUCCACCUGGGGAGUACGACCGCAAGGUUGAAACUCAAAGGAAUUGACGGGGGCCCGCACAAGCAGUGGAGUAUGUGGUUUAAUUCGAAGCAACGCGAAGAACCUUACCAGGUCUUGACAUCCAACGACCGCCUAAGAGAUUAGGCUUUCCUUCGGGACGUUGAGACAGGUGGUGCAUGGUUGUCGUCAGCUCGUGUCGUGAGAUGUUGGGUUAAGUCCCGCAACGAGCGCAACCCUUGUCAUCAGUUGCUACGCAAGAGCAC
rnacentral:rRNA from 1 species